rnacentral:rRNA from 1 species
CCUACGGGUGGCAGCAGUGAGGAAUAUUGGUCAAUGGACGAGAGUCUGAACCAGCCAAGUAGCGUGAAGGAUUACUGCCCUAUGGGUUGUAAACUUCUUUUAUAUGGGAAUAAAAUGUUCCACGUGUGGGAUUUUGUAUGUACCAUAUGAAUAAGGAUCGGCUAACUCCGUGCCAGCAGCCGCGGUAAUACGGAGGAUCCGAGCGUUAUCCGGAUUUAUUGGGUUUAAAGGGAGCGUAGGUGGAUUGUUAAGUCAGUUGUGAAAGUUUGCGGCUCAACCGUAAAAUUGCAGUUGAAACUGGCAGUCUUGAGUACAGUAGAGGUGGGCGGAAUUCGUGGUGUAGCGGUGAAAUGCUUAGAUAUCACGAAGAACUCCGAUUGCGAAGGCAGUUCACUGGACUGCAACUGACACUGAGGCUCGAAAGUGUGGGUAUCAAACAGGAUUAGAUACCCUAGUAGUC